CCACUGUCAGAUAUUCUCCCCCAAGCCCCGUCGGCUGCGCCCCAGGCGAAAUACACGGCGCCGCACCGUCGCGCCCUCGGCCGGCCUCCGUCGGGCGCCUCCGUCGUGCGUGGCCCCGGCCUCUAUGUCGUCGUGGCCGCCGCAACCUCCCCACCGGACACUCCAUCCACACCGACGCCUCCCUCAACCCUCACCGCCGCCGUAUUUGUUGGUCACUGCCCCGACCCAGUAGGUCGAGCCGGCGACGUCGAUGACUCCGAGCUCCACAACAGCGUCUCCGUGCUGCCCGCCGCCAGUUAACGCGCUCGGCUGUUGCUCCCAGCGUCGCGUGCUCCCGGCGCCUCUGUGCUCCCGUGUCAGCUGCUGCUCCUGCUUGGCCUCCGUGCUCCCGGCGCCGCAUCGGCAAGAACGCCGUGCUGUUCGGGAGGAAGCUGUGUUGUUUGGGAAGAAGCAGCAGCAGCAUGACGAGAAGAAGCCGGAGCUGCUGGAGCUCGAUUUGCCCCCCACGGCCGUCCCCUCCUUCGAUUACAACUUCACUACAACUGAAAAUUAGUUAAAGAUGUGUCAAGGUUUGGAACUAGAGUUCGUCGACGGUGGGAUGAAGAGGACGAAUCUGAUGUUGAUGACCUUUUGAUCAUUGCCGGUCUUCUUGAGGGCUCGAAGAGAAACAAGCGCAAGAAAAAAUUUCAUGGAUCGUUGCCGGUCCUCUUGAUCAUGCUUAUUCAGUUAACUGAAACUGAUGAGAGCACUGCCAAACAAGUUUUUUGCUCAUUCAGUUGUUUUCCAUGCAGUGUACUUCUAGUUGUAAAGAGUUGUGGUGAUAUGAGAGAUUUCAGUUAUCAACUAGUCAGAUUUGUAUGUCGAAACAUGAUGGCCAUCAGUUCAGUUUCCUACUUGGUCUGUGUCCUGGGUUAUGUUGUUUAUCUGCCUGUAAAAUAGAUGGUUGAGACUCUUCUCUUAAUCUCAAUAUCUGACCAAUAUGUUCAUAUAUCA